rnacentral:rRNA from 1 species
AUUGAACGCUGGCGGCAGGCUUAACACAUGCAAGUCGAACGAGUGGCGGACGGGUGAGUAAUGCUUGGGAAUCUGGCUGAUGGAGGGGGAUAACUACGGGAAACGGUAGCUAAUACCGCAUACCAUAGGAUGAGCCCAGGUGGGAUUAGGUAGUUGGUGAGGUAAAGGCUCACCAAGCCGACGAUCUCUAGCUGGUCUGAGAGGAUGACCAGCCACACUGGGACUGAGACACGGCCCAGACUCCUACGGGAGGCAGCAGUGGGGAAUAUUGCGCAAUGGGCGCAACCCUGACGCAGCCAUGCCGCGUGUAUGAAGAAGGCCUUCGGGUUGUAAAGUUCUUUCGGUAGCGAGGCGUUACCUACAGAAGAAGCACCGGCUAACUCCGUGCCAGCAGCCGCGGUAAUAC